rnacentral:rRNA from 1 species
GACGAACGCUGGCGGCGUGCUUAACACAUGCAAGUCGAACGAUGAAGCUAGAGCUUGCUCUGGUGGAUUAGUGGCGAACGGGUGAGUAACACGUGAGUAACCUGCCCCGAACUCUGGGAUAACUGCUGGAAACGGUAGCUAAUACUGGAUACGACCAACGAGGCAUCUUCUGUUGGUGGAAAGAAUUUCGGUUCGGGAUGGACUCGCGGCCUAUCAGCUUGUUGGUGAGGUAACGGCUCACCAAGGCGACGACGGGUAGGCGGCCUGAGAGGGUGAUCGGCCACACUGGGACUGAGACACGGCCCAGACUCCUACGGGAGGCAGCAGUGGGGAAUAUUGUACAAUGGGCGCAAGCCUGAUGCAGCAACGCCGCGUGAGGGACGACGGCCUUCGGGUUGUAAACCUCUUUUAGUAGGGAAGAAGCGAAAGUGACGGUACCUGCAGAAAAAGCACCGGCUAACUACGUGCCAGCCGCCGCAGUAA